GAGAGCGGUCACACAAGCACUAUAGCACUGGAUCCCAUCAGAACUCCGAAGUUAAGCAUGCUUGGGAGAGAGUAGUACUAGGAUGUGUGACCCCCUAGGAAGUCCUCGUGUUGCACUCC
rnacentral:rRNA from 15 species